CUGUACAGCAAAGUGUUCCAGUCACACACACACACACACAUAUAUAUAUUUGUUUUUUCACAUUAUCCUCCAUCGCAUUCCAUCAAAGUGACUAGAUAUAGUUCCCUGUGCUAUACAGCAGGGUCUCAUGGCUUAUCCACUCCAAAUGCCAUAGUUGGCCUCUAUUAACCCCAAGCUCCCAGUCCAUCCCACUCCCUCCCCCUCCCCCUUGACAACCACAAGUCAGUUCUCCAAGUCCAUGCAUUUCUUUUCAUAUUCUGCUCAAGGACUGACCCACCAAACAUGGUAGAAAGGGGUCCAAGCCCAAUGUGCCCUGCCUCUAUUCUCUGCGAGCCUGCAAAGAGUGGCACUCUCACAUAAGUACUGUGGCUUGUCCUCACCUGACCCCUCCUGAAGGGCUGAGGCUGCUCAAGGAAACCUAGAAUGUUUUGUGUGGACAGAUCUGGUACCAACAAUCCAUCCUCCCCCACAGGCAGCUUUAACCCCAUUCUAGAGCAGGCUGGAGUAAAAAAAAAGCUUGGACCCAAGGAAUUUUAAUUGCAUUGGCUGAUAUAGUUGCUGAUAAAAAAAUAAUCUUGUUAUUUUUAUCCCCCCCAAAUCUAGUAAGCUAGAAAUAACCUCCAAGGUCUCCUAGUCACAACCUGCCAGCUAUAUGGAUUCAGUUCAGACUCCUGGCUUUCAGCCUCAGUUUCCCUGUCUUUCCAGGAAACUGUCUCAGUUUCCUGAAAACUACAUCUUUCCCUGAACUCAAGCCCCGCCCCCUGGUUUGGGUUCUGGUUCUGGUUCUGAAUCCCUAUCUAUCCUGACCAGAAUCCCCUCACAGAGGGGCUGGGCCCUCAAACUCCCAGCCACUGGCUGAGUUUAUGGGUUCAGUGGCCUGAAUGUUGAAAACCAAGAUUCUGCCUUAUCUCCACUUUACACUCGGAAAAAUCCACCAACCCCUCAAGGAAGCCCUGCGGUCACAAACCCUGACCCACACCUGGCCUGACUUCAGCACACCUCCAUGGCUUCUGGCAGGACCAGCAGAUUCUUUGCUGGUCUAGUCCUUUGCUGAGGAGCCUGAAUAACUCAUGCCCAAGCCUGCUGAGUUAAUAAUCAUCUUCCCGACCACAAUGUUUUACAAGUGAGGAAUCCAAGGGCCAGAGAGUGAAAGUGACUUUGCAAAAGUCAAAUAGCAGUUUCAUAUCAGAUCUGGGCCCAGGGCCCAAAGUUCCUCACUCCUAAGAGUGAAUGAGUAGGUGGAAGAUCAGAGAAGAAAUUUAGGAAUAGAUUCCAAAGCAGAAGUCCAAUUACAAAUCCUGAGGCCCCCAAGGUGGGGAAGGAGAGACAGCAGAAUACGAGUGUGAAGUCAGGAGCAGGUAAGUUGAUUUUAUGUGCAGCCCUAGGCCAUUAAAUUGGAUUAAAUGCCUCUCGCAUGCCAAGAAUGUCCCAGGGAUCUAGAGCAGGGCUGGGCCUCUAAUAGCAGGUCAGGGGGUCACAUACAUAGGCCAAGGGAAAAGAAAGGGUGGAAAACUGAGAAAGGACAUGUGGCCAGGAACGAGGCAGGGCCUGACAUAUGUAGAUGCUCAGGAAGCCCAUGCAUCAGCUGGGACCUCCUUGCAUCAUGAAAGUUGGGCUACAUUUGCUCAAAAUACACACCACUAGGGCCUAUGGAAAUCCAACACCUUCUCUAGGGUUUCUGUAAAUGCUCAGGAUACAUAGAUGCACAUGUCCUGCUAUCUAAGGGUAACGGCUUUGUUUAGCACCCUAUCAAUCUAGGCACAAAAUAUAAAUUUUUCAUGGAAAAAUCCAUAAAUACCAAAUAUAAGAUUAAUAUUUCCUUCAAAUGUUGGUGGGGGGCAUUACAGGUAGGGGGUCUCAUCACUCAGCACAAAAGACAACCUAGACAUCCUCAUAGCACAUUCCCACUGUCCUCAGUCCUGGCAGCCACCCCCUUAUGAUGGUUGUCUCUGUUGGCCCCAACUCUACACCUUCCCUCAAUGCUCCAACCUCCGUGAACCCCUUAGGUUCCUCUGUCUUCCUUCUCCCUUCCCUGUCCUUUGCUCCUUCCUCUCCCCACCAUAUCUCUCCAAAGUCACAAAGAAAUUCCUUUCCUUUAAUCUCACACAGGGAGGCUGGAGCAGGGGGUGAGGUGGGGGCAUAUUCUUGCCCCCUCCUGCUUCUUUACCAAAUUCUUUUUUCAGACAAAGUCACUUCCCUCCCAUAGAGGAAUUCAAGCACCAGAUGUUAAAGUAAUUCAGAAUUUUUUCCAUCUCAAGACACAUGUGUAAACAAAAUGUAAGCAGAACUAUUCUGAUGCAUAGUUCAUGCCUGACCAAGCACUGUGAUUGUCCUGUUCAAAAUGGACUGAUAAGAAAGUUUAGAACGUCUUGUCUGAUGCGGGAGUGUACUCCUGGCCACGACAGCUCAGCUGAAUCCCAGAGCUGAGCUUGGGAAAAUUUGAUUUGUCUUGUGCCCCUUGCGAAGACAAUUUGCAAACUGCUGAUGUAGGAAAGACACCCAAAGUGGAGGUGUUACUUUUUUUAGAGGAGCCAAAAAGUAAUUAGUGCCUAUGGCAACAAGAAUCUUUCAAGAUCUUUCAAUCCUGCAUGGACUCCUGGAGUACUCUCAGGUUACAAACUUUGGGCUGAAAUGUGAUAUCAAUCUAAUGGCAAAAAAUAUGCAAUGGUAUUUCAUAUGGUCAAACCAGGUGACCAGGUAAGCAAUAAAGCUUCCAGAUAGGUGGUUUGUUCUAGUUACUACCUCGUGGUGUAAAGCAACAACUGGUUUAUUAUUCUCAAGGAUUAUACGGGUCAGGAAUUCGGAAAGGACAUAGCAAGGACAAUUUGUAUUUGCUCCACAGUGUCUGUACCCUCAACUGGGAAGUCUGAAAGGCUGGGGGGUUUAUUCAGUGACUGGGUACUGGAAUUAUCUGAAGCCUCUUUCCUUCAUGUCUAUAACACUGAAACAUCUGCAUGUGACCUCCCCAUCUGGGAUUUCUCACAGAACAGUGGUUAGGCUCUGCGGUAAGAGGUCCUAAGGUGGCCCCCCAGUGAUCCCUUCUUCCUGGUAUUCGCAGCCUUGUGUAAUCCCAUCCCCUUGAGUAACUUGCUUCUAACCAAUAAAAUAUGCUAACAUUGAGAGAAUGUUCCAUCCGUGAUUAGGUGGCAAAAGAUUGGGAGUUCUGUCUGGUUCUUGGAUUUUCCCUCUCUUGCUGGCUUUGAUGAAGAAAGUGGUCAUUUUUUGUUUGUUUCUUUCUUUCUUUUCUUUUAAGUUUUAUUGACGUAUAGUUAAUUUACAAGGUUGUGAUAAUUUCUGCAGUACAUCAAAGCAACCCAGUCAUACAUUCACACGUAUCCAUUCUCUCUCAGAAGGAAGUUACCAUGUUGAAGAGGCCCACAUGGCAAGGAAUUGAGGGUUACUCUAGCCAACAGCCAAUGCAGAACUAAAAACCUCAGUCCAAUAAUCCUCAAUGAAUUGAAUCUUGCAACCACAUAAAUGACCUUGGACGUGGAUACUUCCUCAUUUGCACCUUCAGAUGAGACCCCAGCCCUGGUUGAAACCUUGACUGCAGUCUCGUGAGAGAUCCUGCCACAGAGGAGCAAGUCAAGCUGUGGCCAACUUCCUUACUCAGAGAAACUCAUAUGAUAAAUAUGUGUUGUUUAAACCACUAGUUUGGGGGUGAUUUGUUACAUAACAAUAGAUAUAUAACAGGUUCCAAGAGUGAGCAGCCUGUAAAAGCCAGACAGAAACUGUAUCACUUCUCACCAUCUGGGCUCAGUCAUAUAGCAUUACUUCCCCCCAAAGUCACCCAGAUUUAAGAAGAUGGAACAUAGAUCCCAUCUCUCAAAGGAGAGAACAUCAAAGUGUCAUCACAAAAACAGCACAUGGGAGGGGAGAUGGUGUUGUGGCCAUCUUUGGAGAAUACUAUCUGUCAUGUGGCUCUUUGGCGUUGUCCCAUAGCAGGGCCUAGUGUGUUCAUAUUUAAUUUGUUUGUUUGUUUGUUUGUUUUUUGCUUUUUAGGGCAAAACCUUCGGCAUAUGGAGAUUCCCAGGCUAGGGGUUGAAUCGGAGCUACAGCCUACACCACAGCCACAGCAACGUGGGAUCUGAGCUGCCUCUGUGACCUACACCACAGCUCAUGGCAAUGCCAGAUCCUUAACCCACUGAGCAAGGCCAGGGAUCAAACCUGUAUCCUCAUGGAUACUAGUCAGAUUCCUCUUGCACCACGAGGAGAACUCUUUCAUGUGCAAAUUUUAAGAAAGAUUUCUAUUUUGUUGCUAUCUUGAAAGUGAGGUUUUGUUUGUGCUCCUCAUGACAUGUCUCCUCUGCUUUUAAGAAAUGCUUAAACAGGAGUUCCCAACGUGGCACAGCAGAAACAAAUCUGACUAGGAACCAUGAAGUUGCAGGCCUUGCUCAGUGGGUUAAGGAUCCGGUGUUGCAGUGAGCUGUGGUAUAGGUCGCAGACGCCGCUCGGAUCCUGCGAUGCUGUGGCUCUGGCGUAGGCCGGCAGCUGUAGCUCCGAAUAGAUCCCUAGCCUGGGAACCUCUAUAUGCCGUGGGUGCAGCCCUGAAAAGACAAAAAGACAAAAAAAAAGAAUGAAAAAGAAACACUUAAACAAUAUCUCAGCAUGUCACAAGAUGAAUGGGAACUGGCCCUCCUGCAACCAGGAAGACCUCAGAAUCCUAAUUUCCAAGAAUGUGACAAACUCUCUGAAGUGCAAGCCUCUCUCCCCUUAAGAAUAACUCCUAAUGAAUUACAACACUGCCCAUGUUCUGAAAAAUUCCGGCGUUGCCCCACACCCCACACCAGCUGAGCAGAAAUAAGACAGUGAGGGAGGAGGAUGCAGGGGGGGAGAGCAAAGGACACUUGACCAGGCUGACUCCACAGGGGCUUCCAGCAGCCCAGAGACUCAAAGAACUUCUGAGCAAGAAGGCAUCUCAGAGAUCCAUCCUUUCAACUCACACUAGUAGUGAUAGUAGUUACAUUUAGUAAAACCUGAAUGGAACAGCAAGCCCUUUACCACAAGAGGACUAGAUAUUAGAAUCCCGAUGUGACUCACAUAUAGCCGACUUCACCAGUUUGUAAAGUCAUACUUCUACUUAAGGCCUCAAUCACUAGAGCUUAAGCCUCAUCCUACUUGCCUUCAAGAAAUCCAAGCAUUAGAGUUUCCAUCAUGGCUCAGUGGAAAUGAAUCUGACUAGCAUCCAGGUUUGAUCCCUGGCCUCUUUCAGUGGGUUAAGGAUCUGGCAUUGCUGUGAGCUGUGUAGGUUGCAGACGUGGGUCGGAUCUGGCAUUGCUGUGGCUGUGGCGCACGCCAGUGGCUAUAGCUCUGAUUAGACCCCUAGCCUGGGAACCUCUAUAUGC
rnacentral:lncRNA from 1 species